rnacentral:rRNA from 1 species
ACGAACGCUGGCGGCGUGCUUAACCCAUGCAAGUCGAACGAUGAUGCCAGCUUGCUGGUGGAUUAGUGGCGAACGGGUGAGUAACACGUGAGCAACCUGCCCCUGACUUCGGGAUAACCGCGGGAAACCGUGGCUAAUACCGGAUAUGACGCGCUAUCGCAUGGUGGUGUGUGGAAAGAUUUAUCGGUUGGGGAUGGGCUCGCGGCCUAUCAGCUUGUUGGUGGGGUGAUGGCCUACCAAGGCGACGACGGGUAGCCGGCCUGAGAGGGUGACCGGCCACACUGGGACUGAGACACGGCCCAGACUCCUACGGGAGGCAGCAGUGGGGAAUAUUGCACAAUGGGCGCAAGCCUGAUGCAGCGACGCCGCGUGAGGGAUGACGGCCUUCGGGUUGUAAACCUCUUUCAGUAGGGAAGAAGGCCUUCGGGUUGACGGUACCUGCAGAAGAAGCGCCGGCUAACUACGU